GGCCAUCUUUGGUUUUGGGCAACGUCAAAUUAGGACACGAAAUAAAGGAAUUGGUGCAUGCACUCAAUUAUGGAGGCUGAAAAGUCCUACAGUGUGCAGUCUGCAAGUUGGACACCCUGGAAAGCUGGUGGUGUAAUUCAGUCUGAGUCUGAAGGCCUGAAAACCAGGUGAGCGGAUGGCGUAAAUCCAGUCUAAGUACAAGAGAAGAACGAUGUACCAGUCCAGCAGUCAGAUUCUAUUGGUAGGGCUUCCCUGUUGGCGCAGCGGUUAAGAAUCCACCUGCCAAUGCAGGGGACACGGUUUCGAGCCCUGGUCUGGGAAGACCCCGCAUGCCACAGAGCAACUAAGCCCGUGUGCCACAGCUACUGAGCCUGUGCUCUAGAGCCCAUGAGACACAACUACUGAGCCCACACGCCGCAAGUACUGAAGCCCACAUGGCUAGAGCCCAUGCUCCCCAACAAGAGAAGCUACCACAAAAAGAAGCCUGUGCACU